rnacentral:rRNA from 1 species
AACGAACGCUGGCGGCAUGCCUAACACAUGCAAGUCGAACGCGUGGAGCGAUCCACGAGUGGCGCACGGGUGAGUAACGCGUGGGAACCUGCCCUGGAGUGUGGGAUAACCCGGCGAAAGCCGGGCUAAUACCGCAUACGACCUGAGGGUGAAAGAUUUAUCGCUCUAGGAGGGGCCCGCGUAGGAUUAGCUAGUUGGUGAGGUAAUGGCUCACCAAGGCGAUGAUCCGUAGCUGGGCUGAGAGGAUGAUCAGCCACACUGGGACGAAGACGCGGCCCAGACUCCUACGGGAGGGAACAGUGGGGAAUAUUGGACAAAGGGGGCAAUCAUGAACCAGCAAUGCCGGGUGGGCGAUUAAGGCCUUCGGGUUGUAAUGUCCUUUUGCACGCGACGAUGAUGACGGUAGCGUGAGAAGAAGCCCCGGCUAACUUCAUGCCAGCAGCCGCCGUAA